CAUAAGAUGAGAGUUUGAUCNCACGCCUGAUAAGCGUGAGGUCGAUGGUUCGAGUCCAUUUAUGCCCA
rnacentral:tRNA from 1 species